rnacentral:lncRNA from 1 species
UCUCUGCCGCAGCCACCCUCCCAGCGUGCACCUCCUGGAUAUCUGUCCAUGGAAGCUCCUGGACACCCCCUACCUUCCCUGCAUCUGGGUGGACUCCCGCAUGCACUUGCUGCAUUUCGUCUCAGGUUGCCUUUUGACUCUCCACCGCUUAUGAUUCCACUCGGUGGCCUCCCUACUGAUGUCUUUCCUCAGCCAUCUUAUAAUCCCUGAGUGCUUAUUCUGUGCUGGGUACCAUGCUAGUUGCUGAGGAUACAACAGUGAGCAAAGCCAAGUACCUGCUGUCAGACCAGCCACUCAUUCUGUGUGUGUUCAAUAAGUGAUCAACAGGAAGAGGAAUGCCUAUUCAUUCUCACAUACACUUUUAAUGAUGAGCAUUGCCAGCCAAUAGACUGGCUGCCUCAUGUGGAGGUGAGCUCCCCAUCACAGGAAGUAUUCAAUAAGAUCCUGGAUAAGAAAGAGCCCAUUGUCAUGAUGCUGCAAGUGGAGGCUCCUGAAGGUCCCUCUUACCUCCACGAUUCUCUGGUUCUCUGGAGGAUGCCAUCGGGUGGCUGCUGUUGUGUGGCUGUCAGAGUCCGGCAGCAGCAUGCAAGGUAGACAUCUUUGUUUUUUCCUGAUGGAAGCCAACUGGCUUCUCUUGAAAACCAGAGCUAAACACUUGCCUUUGAUAUAAAAUAAAUUUUCAUUUAAAAAAUGCCA